GCUGGCGGCGUGGCUAAGACAUGCAAGUCGUACGGGUGUAGCAAUACACCAGUGGCGGACGGGUGAGUAAUGAAUCGCUAAUGUACCCCAGAGUCUGGGAUAGCUGCCCGAAAGGGCAGGUAAUACCAGAUGAUAUAUCCGGUUGGCAUCAACUGGAUCUCAAAGGGCAAUCGCUCUGGGAGCAGGCGAUUUCGUAUCAGCUUGUUGGUGAGGUAACGGCUCACCAAGGCGACGACGCGUAGCUGGUCUGAGAGGACGGCCAGCCACAUUGGGACUGAGACACUGCCCAGACUCCUACGGGGGGCUGCAGUAACGAAUCUUCCGCAAUGCACGCAAGUGUGACGGAGCGACGCCGCGUGUGGGACGAAGUCCUUCGGGAUGUAAACCACUGUCAGGGGUUACCAAGUUCUGAGGAGCCCCAGAGGAAGAGACGGCUAACUCUGUGCCAGCAGCCGCGGUAAUACAGAGGUCUCGAGCGUUAGGCGGAAUCACUGGGCUUAAAGCGUGUGUAGGUGGAUGCCUAAGUACCUUGUGAAAUCCCACAGCUUAACUGUGGAACUGCUUGGUAUACUGGUGUCUUGAGUCACUCAGGGGCGAGCGGAACAAAUGGUGG
rnacentral:rRNA from 1 species